AACGAACGCUGGCGGCGUGGAUAAGACAUGCAAGUCGAACGGAGAACAUGAUUAGUUUACUAUGAAUGUUCUUAGUGGCGGACGGGUUAGUAACGCGUGAGCAACCUGCCUUAAAGAGGGGGAUAGUCCUGGGAAACUGGGUUUAAUACCGCAUGUGCCCUACGGGGUAAAGAUGGCUUCGGCUAUCGCUUUAAGAUGGGCUCGCGUCCUAUCAGCUAGAUGGUGAGGUAACGGCUCACCAUGGCGACGACGGGUAGCUGGUCUGAGAGGACGAUCAGCAACACUGGAACUGAGACACGGUCCAGACACCUACGGGUGGCAGCAGUCGAGAAUCAUUCACAAUGGACGAAAGUCUGAUGGUGCAACGCCGCGUGGAGGAUGAAGGCUCUAGGGUCGUAAACUCCUGUCAUAUGAGAGUAAGGCAUAUAAGUUAAUACCUUAUAUGUUUGAUAGUAUCAUAAGAGGAAGGGACGGCUAACUUCG
rnacentral:rRNA from 1 species